GAUGAACGCUGGCGGCGUGCCUAAUACAUGCAAGUCGAGCGAACAGACGAGGAGCUUGCUCCUCUGACGUUAGCGGCGGACGGGUGAGUAACACGUGGAUAACCUACCUAUAAGACUGGGAUAACUUCGGGAAACCGGAGCUAAUACCGGAUAUUAUAUUGAACCGCAUGGUUCAAUAGUGAAAGACGGUUUUGCUGUCACUUAUAGAUGGAUCCGCGCCGCAUUAGCUAGUUGGUAAGGUAACGGCUUACCAAGGCAACGAUGCGUAGCCGACCUGAGAGGGUGAUCGGCCACACUGGAACUGAGACACGGUCCAGACUCCUACGGGAGGCAGCAGUAGGGAAUCUUCCGCAAUGGGCGAAAGCUUGACGGAGCAACGCCGCGUGAGUGAUGAAGGUCUUCGGAUCGUAAAACUCUGUUAUUAGGGAAGAACAAAUGUGUAAGUAACUAUGCACGUCUUGACGGUACCUAAUCAGAAAGCCACGGCUAACUACGU
rnacentral:rRNA from 1 species